ensembl:lncRNA
AAUUACAGGCUGCUUUGCCGGCCCUGAAAGCCGAGGCUGACUGGACUCCUGCUCUCCCCCAUACGUGACACUGACCAAAUGCUGCAACAGCUGGACCCACAACAACGACCUGAGAAUGUCCACAGACCUGCAGGAAUGUGAUCUCAUGCAGCCGAGACGGAGAGCACUAAACCUAAGGCCCGUUUCACUACACGGGGGAAAAUUCCCAGACUGCGUCAGCUGACAGAGCUGUGACGAGACGCCCGCCAAGCCCGAAUGAAAAGUAAGGCCGAGCGAAAGAAUGCUGACCUUGAUAACUUUGCAUUCACACUGUGCAGGACAGUGAUGGACCAACACGGAUGAUCGGGUGGCGAAAAAGGGCGUGACCGAGACAAGAGGAGUAACUGAGGACAGAAGGCACCUCAGAAUGGACAAAAACACAGAAGAAGAUGCAGGUUUCACCUGCGGUGAACAUCGACACUGGAGAAAGGACUGCCCCAAUUGGGGUCAGAACCAGGACGGACUGAAUUUUGAGCAGCAGCAGCAAUGGUCGCAAACAAACUGAAAAAGGAGGGGGGGGCAGGACCCCAGGGCACGCUUCAGGCCGUGGUUUACCCAGAACACCAGAACAGGAAAGUGAUGAACACACACACACACACACACACACACACACACACACACGGGAAUGUUGAUUCACUGAGAAGUGAUGCACACACAUACACAUGCACACGCUUGUGCAAUAAAGAGUGAUCCACACGCACACACACAUACACGCUGAUGCAAUGAAGAAUGCUUUGCUUAUGCUGAUAUGCAAAAUGCUGCACACAAACAUCCCAAUGCAUAAUUUUUAUGAGGAGCCAUUGAUUUCCAUUGAUUACCAUUGAUUACUUAGAAUGUGUUAUAUGUCACCUAGAAGGCAUUUAUGUAGAUUUUAGGAAUAAGCUCUAAAACGGUUUGGUUAUGAAAACAAUGUCUGUGCGUGAUGUCUGUUUAUGGCUCAAGGCCUUGACUGAAUUCUUUGCUGUGCUUCACACAGCCCUGAUGAGGAACAGUGGCACAGAGUGAAAAUGAUGAAUUAAUAGUGUAAGUUUUAGGUCGGAGUACGGCAUUUUCUGUGAUUGAGUUUUAAUUCAAGGAGGAACAAAAGGUGUUACGGCACCUGAGGUUCUCAUUCCCACACAAUAUUGUCCCGGCAGGAAGCAAAAUGUUCCUGUGAAUUUCUGGUUGAUUGUUUGGUUUUGUUUAGCGCUAGCUUGAUUUUAUCAGUGAGCUUUGGCUUGUGUUCUUUCUCGUAAGCGAGAGAGGGAUAGUUUUAUGCUUGGACAUGUCUGCAACGGGCCCUAGUUUGUGUUAUUUUAGUAGUAUUUUGUUGGUUAUGUCUGUUUUCAUUUUUGUUACAGUGCACUGGAGAAAAAACAUCUGAGAGGUGUGAUCCACCGGUGGUGAUAUGUUGAUAUUUUGUGAGUUCAUGAUUUAACAAUCAGCUCUUUAAACCAGGCCUGAAAGAUUGAAAUUUAAAGCGCUAUAAAAUAUUAUUACUGUAAACAGUUGCAAAGUGUGCUUCUCCAUGAUUGUAAUUGGCUUGGGAGAAAUUCACUUAUAGGAAACACUGAGAAGUUCUGAGUCUAAAAGGAUUGCACCGAGUCAAUCCGGCCCAAAAAAACAACAAGGAAUUGUUUUCCUUUAAAAUGAUGACGUCAUCUUGCUGGUGAUGGAUGCUCGAAUAGGUUGCGCGGGAGACUCCAUUAUCAGCAACAUCUGGUAUGAAUGUGUAUGGAGGUAUGCAUGCGAAUGAACUGUGAUGGACUGACGAUUAAAAGUUUUAACUGACUUGAUACUGAGACAAUGACUGCACCCACUUUAGGAUUAGUAAAUGCCAAUAAACAAUUCAUAAACAAUUCACCCAGCCGACAAGAGAAGGGUGGAUGCUUCGCUUUGUUUUGUUUUGUUUUUUCAGGAGCAGGAGGAUAAGAGAGACUGGAGGAGGAGACUCUAGCUUCACAUAAAGAAAGGAACAGACACCAGACGAGGUCACAGAGAUGCGAGGAUCCUCCGUAGCAGAGUCAGACACAGUGACAGCCGAGACAGCAACUGGGGUCAAGUGUCAUGACGUUUGGGCUCCUGGAGAAGAUGGAUCCCACAAACACAGCAAUAACCAUGAAGGGGUUGGCGAAAACCAGGAACACCAGACCAACGAGGUUCGAGAGGCUCUUGGCAAAAAGGGGGACACGGCGGUGACCCCAAAACACACAGAUCCUUGUUUGAAAUCGCAAUAAUCCCC